rnacentral:rRNA from 1 species
UACGUAGGGUGCAAGCGUUGUCCGGAUUUAUUGGGCGUAAAGAGCGUGUAGGCGGCCAGGUAGGUCUGCUGUGAAAACUCGAGGCUCAACCUCGAGACGUCGGCGGAAACCAUCUGGCUAGAGUCCGGGAGGGGAGAGCGGAAUUCCUAGUGUAGCGGUGAAAUGCGCAGAUAUUAAGAAGAACACCGGUGGCGAAGGCGGCUCUCUGGAACGGUACUGACGCUGAGACGCGAAAGCGUGGGGAGCGAACAGG